AAAUAAUUAGCAUAUUUAAUGUAUUUAGUUUCGGCCUAAAAGAUAAUAUUAUUAUUAUUAUUAUUUA
rnacentral:tRNA from 1 species